UAACUUAUAUUGGGUCGUACCUGCACAAUGGCCCCCCACGAAGGGCUAAAUUGCCGCGGUACCCUGACCGUGCGAAGGUAGCGAAAUAAUUUGCCUUAUUAAUUGUUGGCCAGAAAUGAAUGGUGUGACGCUGGUGGCGCUGUCUCAUCAGUAUUGAUUUGAAUUUGACUUCUGGGUGAAAAGGCCCAGAUAGACCUGAAAGACGAUUAGACCCUGUCGAACUUUAAGUAGACCCGUUCGGAAAUUUUUAGAAAAAAUGGUUACGCUUUUGGUUGGGAAAACCGGAGGUAAGAAAAAACACCUCCUGCUUUUGUAACACCCGCUAUUGAUGGGGUAAUAAAGACUUUACCCUAAGGGCAAUUGGCCUGACGGAAAGUAAUUUGAUGGGAAACAUAAGAUUCCUACUUCCAUAGAUAACUUAUAAA
rnacentral:rRNA from 1 species